rnacentral:rRNA from 1 species
GGAAUCUUGCACAAUGGGCGAAAGCCUGAUGCAGCGACGCCGCGUGGGGAUGAAGCAUCUCGGUGUGUAAACCCCUUUCGAUUCGGACGAAUGCCCGCAAGGGAGUGACGGUACGGAUAUAAGAAGCCCCGGCUAACUACGUGCCAGCAGCCGCGGUAAGACGUAGGGGGCCAGCGUUGUUCGGAAUUACUGGGUGUAAAGGGUUCGUAGGCGGUGCGGCAAGUUGGGAGUGAAAUCUCUGGGCUUAACCCAGAGGCUGCUUCCAAAACUGCUGUGCGCGAGUGUGGGAGAGGCGCGUGGAAUUGCAGGUGUAGCGGUGAAAUGCGUAGAUAUCUGCAGGAACAACCGUGGCGAAAGCGGCGCGCUGGACCACUACUGACGCUGAGGAACGAAAGCUAGGGGAGCAAACA